UCACUCGUUUGGUUCAAAUAUAUCAAAUUAGUCACUCAUUCCAAAAUUGACUCAAUUUAAGAGUCAAUUUUAAAAUGAGUGACUAAUUUGAUAUAUUUGAGCCAAAUGAGUGAUGA
rnacentral:pre_miRNA from 1 species